rnacentral:tRNA from 1 species
CCUGAUGGCUCAGAUGGUAAAGCAUCCGCCUACAAUGCGGGAGACUCAGGUUCGACCCCUGGGUCAGGA